CCUACGGGAGGCAGCAGUGGGGAAUAUUGGACAAUGGGCGAAAGCCUGAUCCAGCCAUGCCGCGUGUGUGAAGAAGGCCUUCGGGUUGUAAAGCACUUUCAGUGGGGAAGAAAGCCUUGGGGCUAAUACCCUCGAGGAAGGACAUCACCCACAGAAGAAGCACCGGCUAACUCCGUGCCAGCAGCCGCGGUAAUACGGAGGGUGCGAGCGUUAACCGGAAUUACUGGGCGUAAAGCGCGCGUAGGCGGUCUGAUAAGCCGGUUGUGAAAGCCCCGGGCUCAACCUGGGAACGGCAUCCGGAACUGUCAGGCUAGAGUGCAGGAGAGGAAGGUAGAAUUCCCGGUGUAGCGGUGAAAUGCGUAGAGAUCGGGAGGAAUACCAGUGGCGAAGGCGGCCUUCUGGACUGACACUGACGCUGAGGUGCGAAAGCGUGGGUAGCAAACAGGAUUAGAUACCCCGGUAGUC
rnacentral:rRNA from 1 species